AAAAGGUAACAAAAACUAGCCUUCCCAAAUCAAAAAGCAAGUUCAUUGCAAAUAUGAAACCAUCAUAUCAUGGAUUGAUGCCAGUUUUCUAAAGUUAAACACACUUUUUAAUCAGAACAAUAUGGAUGACAUUCAAAGCCCACCUCCUCCAGAAGAAGACUAGGACCGGCCAAUCUCAUGAUGCCUUCUAUGGCUCAUCUAACUGGUCC
rnacentral:misc_RNA from 1 species